rnacentral:rRNA from 1 species
UGGGGAAUCUUAGACAAUGGGGGAAACCCUGAUCUAGCCAUGCCGCGUGAGCGAUGAAGGCCUUAGGGUUGUAAAGCUCUUUCAGCUGGGAAGAUAAUGACGGUACCAGCAGAAGAAGCCCCGGCUAACUCCGUGCCAGCAGCCGCGGUAAUACGGAGGGGGCUAGCGUUGUUCGGAAUUACUGGGCGUAAAGCGCACGUAGGCGGAUUAGUCAGUCAGAGGUGAAAUCCCAGGGCUCAACCCUGGAACUGCCUUUGAUACUGCUAGUCUUGAGGUCGAGGAGUAGNGCGGAUGAUCCGAGUGUAGAGGUGAAAUUCGUAGAUAUUCGGAGGAACACCAGUGGCGAAGGCGGCUCACUGGCUCGAUACUGACGCUGAGGUGCGAAAGCGUGGGGAGCAAAACAGGAUUAGAUACCCUGGUAGUCCACGCCGUAAACGAUGAAUGCCAGUCGUCGGGUUGCAUGCAAUUCGGUGACACACCUAACGGAUUAAGCAUUCCGCCUGGGGAGUACGGUCGCAAGAUUAAAACUCAAAGGAAUUGACGGGGUCAUAGCUGUUUCCUG